rnacentral:rRNA from 1 species
CCUANGGGGGGCAGCAGUCGAGAAUUUUUCUCAAUGGGCGAAAGCCUGAAGGAGCGACGCCGCGUGGGGGAUGAAUGGCUUCGGCCCGUAAACCCCUGUCAUUUGCGAGCAAACCCUCUUACCUAAUACGUGAGAGGUUGAUAGUAGCGAAAGAGGAAGGGACGGCUAACUCUGUGCCAGCAGCCGCGGUAAUACAGAGGUCCCAAGCGUUGUUCGGAUUCACUGGGCGUAAAGGGUGCGUAGGUGGUGGUGGAAGUUUGAUGUGAAAGCUCCGAGCUUAACUCGGAAAAUGCAUUAAAUACUCUACUGCUAGAGGAUUGGAGGGGAGACUGGAAUUCUCGGUGUAGCGGUGAAAUGCGUAGAUAUCGAGAGGAACACCAGUGGCGAAAGCGAGUCUCUGGACAACUCCUGACACUGAGGCACGAAAGCUAGGGGAGCAAACAGGAUUAGAUACCACANUANUC